rnacentral:rRNA from 1 species
GACGAACGCUGGCGGCGUGCCUAACACAUGCAAGUCGAACGCGAAAGGGGGGCAACCCCCAAGUAGAGUGGCGCACGGGUGAGUAACACGUGGGUAACCAACCCUCGGGUGGGGGAUAACAGUUCGAAAGGACUGCUAAUCCCGCAUGAGACCACGAUGGCGCGAGCCAUUGGGGCCAAAGGAGUAAUCCGCCUGAGGACGGGCCCGCGUCCCAUCAGCUUGUUGGUAGGGUAAUGGCCUACCAAGGCAGUGACGGGUAGCUGGUCUGAGAGGACGACCAGCCACACUGGGACUGGAACACGGCCCAGACUCCUACGGGUGGCAG